AAAGGGAAGUACAACGAGUUGCGAAGUCGCGAGGCUAAGCUAAUCUCUUAAAGCUUUUUUCAGUUCGGAUUGCAGGCCGCAACUCGCCUGCACGAAGCCGGAAUCGGUAGUAAUCGCGGAUCAGCACGCCGCGGUGAAUACGUUCCCGGGCCUUGUACACACCGCCCGUCACACCACGAGAGUUUGUAACACCCGAAGUCGGUGAGGUAACCUUUUGGAGCCAGCCGCCUAAGGUGGGAUAGAUGAUUGGGGUGAAGUCGUAACAAGGUAGCCGUAUCGGAAGGUGCGGCUGGAUCACCUCCUUUCUAAGGAAUAUUACGGAGAGUACACAAUUUGUUUUUACUUUGUUCAGUUUUGAGAGGUUCACUCUCAAACACUUUUGUUCAUUGAAAACUGGAUAUUUGAAGUAAAUGUAAGUAAUACAAACCGAGAACACCGCGUUGAAUUUGAAAGCUGAACAAAUUGUUUAGCCUGAAGCAAAAUAGGCGGACGGCCAUAAAAUCUUUGAUUUUAUGAGACGAUCGAUCUUUUUGCCGUACAGGCUGAUUUGUGAGCUGGAUAGAGUUUUUUAAUAAGUUCAAUUGCUUAUUUUCUUGAUGGUUCGGGUUUGGGUAGAAGAAGGAUCAAAACCCAACCGUAAGGUUGAUAAGGGGUUGUGAAUUAGGGUUCAGCGGUGGUC
rnacentral:misc_RNA from 1 species